UAUAGAACCGCAAGCAUAGGUGCCAGAAAUGGCUGAAAAGGGAAUCCGGUGUAAACCCGGAGCUGUCCCCGCAACUGUAAAUGUGACGAAAUGAGAUUUCCACUGUAUGUCUUUAUACGGGAAGGACUCAGAGUAGGAUGAACAUAAGCCAGGAGACCUGCCUAUUGCCUGCCAAGUUU
rnacentral:ncRNA from 2 species